rnacentral:rRNA from 1 species
CCUAAGGAGUUGUAUCUGUCAGGACGACGCCUGGCGGCGUGCUAUCAUGCAGUCGAGCGGACAGAAGGGAGCUGCUCCCGGAUGUUAGCGGCGGACGGGUGAGUACACGUGGGUAACUGCCUGUAAGACUGGGAUAACUCCGGGAAACCGGAGCUAAUACCGGAUAGUUCCUUGAACCGCAUGGUUCAAGGAUGAAAGACGGUUUCGGCUGUCACUUACAGAUGGACCCGCGGCGCAUUAGCUAGUUGGUGGGGGUAAUGGCUCACCAAGGCGACGAUGCGUAGCCGACCUGAGAGGGUGAUCGGCCACACUGGGACUGAGACACGGCCCAGACUCCUACGGGAGGCAGCAGUAGGGAAUCUUCCGCAAUGGACGAAAGUCUGACGGAGCAACGCCGCGUGAGUGAUGAAGGUUUUCGGAUCGUAAAGCUCUGUUGUUAGGGAAGAACAAGUGCGAGAGUAACUGCUCGCACCUUGACGGUACCUAACCAGAAAGCCACGGCUAACUACGUGCCAGCAGCCGCGGUAAUACGUAGGUGGCAAGCGUUGUCCGGAAUUAUUGGGCGUAAAGGGCUCGCAGGCGGUUUCUUAAGUCUGAUGUGAAAGCCCCCGGCUCAACCGGGGAGGGUCAUUGGAAACUGGGAAACUUGAGUGCAGAAGAGGAGAGUGGAAUUCCACGUGUAGCGGUGAAAUGCGUAGAGAUGUGGAGGAACACCAGUGGCGAAGGCGACUCUCUGGUCUGUAACUGACGCUGAGGAGCGAAAGCGUGGGGAGCGAACAGGAUUAGAUACCCUGGUAGUCCACGCCGUAAACGAUGAGUGCUAAGUGUUAGGGGGUUUCCGCCCCUUAGUGCUGCAGCUAGCUACGCUUUAGGUAACCCACCGGU